CAUUUUCAGAAAGUGACAACAUGGUUUAGAAGCUGUCAGUACCUAAUGAAGCAUUUCAGCUCUAUUUUAUAAGCUGUGAUUAUCAUGAUCAUUUUUACUGAUACAUAUAUGGAUUUGACAUCUGCAGCCUUUUAGCCUUUUAAAUAAUCUGGUCAGCAAAAUUUCUAGAAACAGGGCAGAGAAGACUUGGAAGACAUUCAGAAAACCUAGUUAUAAACUCAGGAACAUCUUAUUACUUACUAUAUUUCCUCAAGGCAAUGCAUCAUGUAAGUAACACUGACAGAAAGGCUCUGACCCAAGAAUUAAAGCAGAGACCAGAAGUAUUGCUCAUACCGCUUUCAG
rnacentral:lncRNA from 1 species